CUGUCGGCAAGCAGUAAUCUUUUAUGCUUUCCUUCUCUGUCGGCAAAGUAACUAGAAUAAAUAUACCAUGUAAAAGCUCACACAUAGAACACAUAUAUGGUACUUCAAAUUGAUUGCAGAUCCUUUCUACUUACUAUUCUAAAUUCAUUGCAGAUCCUUUUUACUUACUCGAGUCUAAUUAGUUUAAAGCAAAAGAGAAAAAGAGUUCCUAUGACUACAUACCGUGAGAAGAGAGAAGUGGGAGAAUGAGUUGCAAAAUAUAUUUUUAUCAUAUAGUUAAAAAAAAACCUCAAACAUGUUUAACACCCACAAAUUAAACAUUCAUUCACUUAGAGGAAGGAAAAAAACUAAAAAAGAUAGAAUUCAUAGAACCCAAUGUCAAGGAAAUUUACAAGCACUUUUUCCCUGAUUCCAUCAAAAAAGAACUCACAAUCAAAAAAGUUGAAAUGUAUAAAUAAAUCGAAAGUUCAAUCAAAUACCACAAAAUCAAUAAAGUUCUGUAAGUUCUUAUAAAAAGAACUAAAAACACUAACCCGUUUCCUAGAUUGAGCCCUAAAAGAAUAGCGAACCCUAGAAAAGCAGCAAAAAAAUUAUUCAUCCCUAAAAAAUAAUUGACCAGAUAAAUCAUAACAUUUACCUGAGGUUUAUAAGAAAAUAUCAUAUUUCGAGUCUUCUUUGCCAGAUCGUCUUCUGUAACAUGACUCAUGCGUACACCUUUGUAUAGUUACGACAGUAAGAAGAGACGAAGGGGAAGGAGAAGGGGAACCAAAAAAGGUUAGGAGAAAAGUAAAGGGGAAAAUUAAGGGAUUUAAGUGAAUAAAAU
rnacentral:lncRNA from 1 species